rnacentral:rRNA from 1 species
AAAGAUUAAGCCCUGCAUGUAUAGGUACCCCUUAUAAGACUGCGAACGGCUUCAUUAGAGCUUAUAUAAAGUUUUCCGUUGCCUUUUAGGCUAUCUUCGACAAAUUGAAGCUAAUACAUGCAAACAUGUCCUUUUCGAAGGGCGCAAUAUUAGAACUACUGGCUUGCCGGCGGUUGAUUUCAAUUAUCGUUUUUAUAUCGGAGGGUGACUUCCGAUGGCCGUAAACUGUGUACGCCCUAUCACCCAGCAGGUUAGUUAUUCGCUAACCAGGGGUAUUACGGGUAACGGAGAACUAGGGUUCGUCUCCGGAGAAGAAGCCUUUGAAAGGCUACUACAUCCAAGGAAGGCAGCAGGCGCGUAACUUAUCCACUACCACAGUGAGAUAGUAACUAGUCUUAACUAUCGACUGAUCUUUUAGGUUAGUCAUGGUCCAUGAGUUGAGCCUAAAUAGCUCUUCGAGGACCAAGUGGAGGGCAAGUCUGGUGCCAGCAGCCGCGGUAAUUCCAGCU